CUCCGCCUACGGGGCGCAGCAGUGGGGAAUAUUGCACAAUGGGGGGAACCCUGAUGCAGCGAUGCCGCGUGAAGGAAGAAGAUUUUCGGAUCGUAAACUUCUAUCAGCAAGGAAGAAAAAGGACAGUACUUGACUAAGCAGCCCCGGCUAACUACGUGCCAGCAGCCGAGGUAAUACGUAGGGGGCAAGCGUUAUCCGGAAUUACUGGGUGUAAAGGGUGCGUAGGCGGCACGACAAGUCAGUUGUGA
rnacentral:rRNA from 1 species